UGCCGCCUGGGAAGUACGUACGCAAGUAUGAAACUUAAAGGAAUUGGCGGGGGAGCACCACAAGGGGUGAAGCCUGCGGUUCAAUUGGAGUCAACGCCUGAAACCUUACCCGGAGAGACAGCAGAAUGAAGGUCAAGCUGAAGACUUUACCAGACAAGCUGAGAGGUGGUGCAUGGCCGUCGCCAGCUCGUGCCGUGAGAUGUCCUGUUAAGUCAGGUAACGAGCGAGAUCCCUGCCUCUAGUUGCCACUAUUACACCCUGGUGUAGUAGGGCGAAUUAGGGGGACCGCCGCAGUUAAUGCGGAGGAAGGAAGGGGCCACGGCAGGUCAGUAUGCCCCGAAACUCUGGGGCCACACGCGGGCUGCAAUGGUAACGACAAUGAGUUCCAAAAUCGAAAGAUAGAGGUAAUCCCUAAACGUUACCACAGUUAUGAUUGAGGGCUGCAACUCGCCCUCAUGAAUAUGGAAUCCCUAGUAACCGCGUGUCAUUAUCGCGCAGUGAAUACGUCCCUGCUCCUUGCACACACCGCCCGUCGUUUCAUUGAAGUUUGCCUUUAGCGAGGUGAUGUCUAAUUGGCAUUAUCGAACUUGGGGUAAGUGACAAGGGAAAAGUCGUAACAAGGUGACCGUAGGGGAACCUGCGGUCG
rnacentral:rRNA from 1 species